GAUGAACGCUGGCGGCGUGCUUAACACAUGCAAGUCGAACGAGAAGUGAAGACGGAACCCUUCGGGCGGAAGGCUUUAUUUCGAGUGGCGGACGGGUGAGUAACGCGUGGGUAACCUGCCUCAUAUAGGGGGAUAACAGUUGGAAACGACUGUUAAUACCGCAUAAGACCACAGCACCGCAUGGUGCGGGGGUAAAAACUCCGGUGGUAUGAGAUGGACCCGCGUUCGAUUAGCCAGUUGGCGGGGUAACGGCCCACCAAAGCGACGAUCGAUAGCCGAUCUGAGAGGAUGACCGGCCACAGUGGGACUGAGACACGGCCCAAACUCCUACGGGAGGCAGCAGUGGGGAAUAUUGCACAAUGGGGGAAACCCUGAUGCAGCGACGCCGCGUGAGUGAAGAAGUAUUUCGGUAUGUAAAGCUCUAUCAGCAGGGAAGAAAAUGACGGUACCUGAGUAAGAAGCCCCGGCUAACUACGUG
rnacentral:rRNA from 1 species